UACGGAGGGGGCUAGCGUUGUUCGGAAUUACUGGGCGUAAAGCGCACGUAGGCGGCUUUGUAAGUUAGAGGUGAAAGCCCGGGGCUCAACCCCGGAAUUGCCUUUAAGACUGCAUCGCUUGAACGUCGGAGAGGUGAGUGGAAUUCCGAGUGUAGAGGUGAAAUUCGUAGAUAUUCGGAAGAACACCGACGGCGCAGGCAGCGUCCUGGCCGCUUGCUGACACUGAGGCACGAAAGCUGGGGGAGCAAACAGG
rnacentral:rRNA from 1 species